rnacentral:rRNA from 1 species
GAACGCUGGCGGCGUGCCUAAUACAUGCAAGUCGAGCGCGGGAAGCGAGUGGAUCCCUUCGGGGUGAAGCUCGUGGAACGAGCGGCGGACGGGUGAGUAACACGUGGGCAACCUACCUGUAAGAUCGGAAUAACCCCGGGAAACCGGGGCUAAUGCCGGGUAAUACUUUUCUUCGCAUGAAGGAAAGUUGAAAGAUGGCUUCUUGCUAUCACUUACAGAUGGGCCCGCGGCGCAUUAGCUAGUUGGUGAGGUAACGGCUCACCAAGGCGACGAUGCGUAGCCGACCUGAGAGGGUGAUCGGCCACACUGGGACUGAGACACGGCCCAGACUCCUACGGGAGGCAGCAGUAGGGAAUCUUCCGCAAUGGACGAAAGUCUGACGGAGCAACGCCGCGUGAACGAUGAAGGUCUUCGGAUCGUAAAGUUCUGUUGUUAGGGAAGAACAAGUACCGNGCGAAUAGAGCGGUACCUUGACGGUACCUAACGAGGAAGCCCCGGCUAACUACGUGCCAGCAGCCGCGGUAAUACGUAGGGGGCAAGCGUUGUCCGGAAUUAUUGGGCGUAAAGCGCGCGCAGGCGGUUCUUUAAGUCUGAUGUGAA